UAGGGUGUUGCUCAGUGGUAGAGCACCUGCUUUGCAUGCACUAAGCCCUGAGUUUGAUCCUCAACAGCACAA
rnacentral:tRNA from 1 species